rnacentral:misc_RNA from 1 species
UCAGGGCGUAGUCUUGCUCGAUUUGAGGUCAAUUUAUAAAAAAGCUUUAUGAUAAGCUCAUGCCGCUUCACGUUCCCAUUGGAAUUUUUAGCUUACGACAACGGGUCAAGCCGUGAAACAAGGCUACAGCUUCUUGCAUUUCAAUGCAGCCCAAGUUACCAAGGGCAAACAUCAUGAUCCAAUCCUAGCUAUUCUUGUAAUUAAACAAAAAUGGGAUUGAGAGGGUAAGCGACACUCAAACGAACAUGCUCUCAGGAAUAGCCCGAGAGCGCAAGGUGCGUUCAAAGAUUCGAUGAUUCACUGAAUUCUGCAAUUCACAUUACAUUUCGCGCUUUGCUGCGUUCUUCAUCGAUGCGAGAGCCA